rnacentral:lncRNA from 1 species
ACAUGGAGGUGACACAUGGAGGCGACACAUGGAGGUGACACAGAGGUGCCACGAGGUGACAGAGGAGGUGACACAAAGGUGCCAGGAGGUGACACAGGAGGUGACACAGGAGGAGGUGACACAGGAGGAGGUGACACAGACGUGCAAGGAGUUGACAAGAGGUGCCACGGAGGUGACACAGGAGCUGACACAUGAAGGUGACACACAGGUGACACGGAGGUGACACAGCAGGUGACACAGGAGGUGACACAGGAGGAGGUGACACAGAGGAGGUGACACAGGCGUGCAAGGAGUUGACAAGAGGUGCCAAGGCGGUGACACAGGAGC